rnacentral:misc_RNA from 1 species
CGGGUACUGCCCGGCACGAGCUGUAGCGAACAUCCCUGAGGCGAUUCACAUUCCUAGGGGGCUGUCCCUGCCCGGAUCCUGGUCCGGUGCACAUGGUCCCCACCUGAUGCUUAUGGCGUCAGAGGAUAUUCCAGCAAACGACCAUGGCGGUCCCGCC